UUGCCUUUGCGGGAGCUGCUGGAAGCGUCUGGAGCUCUGGAUGGUAACUUCUGCCGUCGCCUGAAUUCAACUUUAGGACUGGCUUUCCCAGCUCUUGGGCCUUCCCUGCUGCCCAGACGCGGCGCUGGCCGCAUAUUUGCAUAUAUUUAAACUUGCCCUGGCUCUCCUUGACAUCGUAUUAACUUGCAGGCACUGUAGGACCUCACCAUACUCUACUAUGCCUGGCCUCUGCAGCAGCCAAACUGAGCCGCUCGAGUUGCGUCAGAGCUUUAGUGAAUAAGCCAUUAAUCAGUUAUUUGAUCGUUUCAUUUUGGGGGACCUUUUCAACUACCUGUUCUCCCUCCACAACCUUGUGCUCACCCAUGACAAAGAUGAAACGAUUGUACCAAAAAAAUUCCCUUGAGAACUGGCAGGUGUAAGAGGACUCUGGAAAACAGGUCAAGAAAGAUGAGAACUGAGAAUUGACCAUGGGAUUUAGCAAUGUGGAGACUAUUGGUGAUCUUGGAAAUCCAGUCUUGCUAGAGAGGGCAAAUGACACCAUCUGGACAGUGGAAACAGCACAUGCUUGGGGAAGUCCCUGCCCCACCCCCACUCCUACCCCCACCCUGAGUAGCUUAGGCAAAGUCUCCUCCCCCUCUAAAUGAGCUUCCCUUUCUUCUGGUCUGCUUGGCUUUCAUCUUUCUCCCUUUGCUCUCUUUGUCCUGCUGAGCAGGCUGUAAACCUGCAGGUUCUGUGUUCUUGCAGUUCAGCUUUAAAACAAAAAAACAAAAACAAAAACAAAACUCUGUUGCAAUUUGUUAACUUUCCCUCCUGGAAGGCAGAAGCCAUCAAUUUUUGUGAAAGUAGCUGCUGCAAGGAGUCAGCCUUGUGAUUGCAGAAGGAAAAGAUCGAAGAGGGAAAGAAAGAGAAAGAGAUCAAGGGAGGAGGGCAAGCACAUGGGAGGGGGAGAGAGAGAGAGAGAGAGAGAGAAGCCGGCCGGCCCCCCCAGGUUGAACCAGUUACACAGUCUUUAAGAAACAGGGCUUUUUUAACAUGAAUGCAAGUACCAGCUGAGGUAUUUCCACUGCACAUUCACUACCAAGCCAAAGAUGACUAGACAUUUUUAAAGUGAUGGCAACUGUAUCCUAGAAGAUGUAGCUAUUCAGCUGUAAUGUCUCCAUACCCUACCACUCCCUCUGUUUGGAAUCCUCGUGCUCCAGUAACCUGUAUUUCGAUGGCUCUGGCCCCUGGCUUUAAACUCAAAACUCCUGCUUCCAGGCAAGAGCCUCACACCGGCUCAUUCAGGGCCCAGGAGUGUUUACCUGGAUUUACAAGCCUAGGAGAUUAUCCUGAAAGGUUUGCAAGUAUAUUCUUCUUUGGUUCCAGCCACCUUCCACCGGGUACAGCUACGUCUACUCAGUUAUGCUCUCUACUUCCAGACACUGCCCCCGAUGCUGAGAUGCCCCGGGGUAGCAAGGUGUCCUGCCAGGAGAACCGACUGAGGACCCACAGCUGUACUGCUUGAGGACAUGGCUUUACAAGGUGUCUAGUGUAGCAACUCUUCCAGUUUUCCCAUUUAUAGCAUGUUUUUGUUUUUCAGAAUUCCAAGUUCAAUUCUCCCCUCCCCUCUUUAAUUCUCUGCUCCCUUCCCCCUGCCACCUUAGGAUUCGGACAUGUGCCUGUUGGACACAAAUCUGGGUGGAAACCACUCUCUGAACUAGAGUCGCUCAAGAUGAGAGCCUCAUUUAACUAGGUCAUUCCGUUCUCUGGUUCCUUUGUUUAGGGGCCCUUAGGUGCUGCUUCUUGAGGGUGGCUUCCUGGGACAGUGACAUCCCAUGCUAAAUAACUCUUUGCUAAAGAGCUCUACGUGGAGACAAAUGCCAUCCUCUAACAUGCCCUAGGAACAAAGUAAGUAGGCCUUAUCCCUUCCCUGCUCUUGGCCUCCUGUCUGGAAAUCUGUCCCCACCACAUCUCAUUUACCCAGAAUUGAGUGGUUUGGGGGUUACUGCAGUUCCCUGGUGGCAGACAACAGUCUUUGACACAAAGGAGGAAGCAAGUUGAUAUGAAUUAUCUGGGCCCCAACCAGUGUCUUCACCUACAGCCACUUCAUCCUAAGAUUGGCCAACAUUUUGGUUCUUGGCUAGUUUCUUGGCUGGAGAGGGAGAUUCUCCUGCUUGUUUUGGAGCUACUUCUUCAUGCCUUACUCCUGAUUCUUACUGUGGGCCCAGGGUGCAAAUAACCCAGCUUUCUAACCUACUCUUUCUUUUGAGGGACAGCUUCUCUGCCUGCAUUGCACAUGGCCUGGGGGUCCUGCUCUCCCCUGGGCAAUAGUGAGCACUUAAUUCAUGCUGAGCCAGUUGGACCCUCUCCCUCCUUGGCUUUUGAAUCUUGAGUUGAAUGAUCCAAGGAUGAAAGUGAUUAUAGUAGAGAUACUCUGUCCAAGCUUCCCUUAGGGACUGCUAAUUCUUGCUUCCUGGAUCCCGGAGCUGACCUUUUUCCUGGUCUUUCCCAAAGCUAACCUAUUCUACUUUCUUUACAAUUCUGUAACUUUUCCUGUAGUCUUCCAAUAAAUCCCUUUUUGCUUACGUUA